rnacentral:lncRNA from 1 species
GUAGAUGAUCAAGGCAUCCAGUCAAUGCAGGCCGACAAGUAGCCUGAGGACUUGCUUUUAGGUAGGGCUGGUCCCUAGGGUGGGCUGCCUGCCCUGGCUGAACUGGAUUAAAUCUGUGCUUUAGUGGGUGUGACAGACCCCUGGGCUAACAGGCCAAGGGAUAAACCUCAAUGGUGCCCAUCAAGUUCUGUGUCAGCAUGCCUGGACCAGGUCAGAACAAUGGCCCCUACCAAUGUCUCAGUCUCCAGAGAGGUCCCUCCUCUCACCAAGAUGCCCUCAGAGCCCAUCAGGUUGAGAGAAGGGAAUUUCUGGCCUGCAAGAAAGAGGGACAUUUCCCAGGCUGGACCACUUGUGGUGAGACACCCCGUGCCAGUGCUGCCCAGUUGCCUAGUGUCUCUUGGUGGCAGAGGGGGAAGUUCAGGCCAGCAAAGAAGGAACAUGGAUGACAUCACCAAGGGAGAGAAUUUAGACUCAGAAGAGAAGAGAGCAGAGGCCUGAGUCUUGAGGAUUUUUAACAUUUAAAAACCCAGAAGAGGGAUACAGCUGGCAAGGGAGACAGAGAAAGAGCAGGUAAAAAUACAGGAGGAAAUCCAGGAAUUCCUUGUAUCACAGAAGCCAAGAG